CCAUCUUGGACUCGGCUCGACCCAGUCUGGUGACCGGCGACGCUGGGCCGGGCUCGGCGCAGGGGGUCGGGAAGCGCAAAGAAGUUAAAUACUUGACCAAGUUCACACCAAGAUCUGAACCCAGGUAGUCUUACUUCAGAGCCUACGUUCUUAUCCGUGCCCAUUGCCAGCCUCGUGCUCAUUCAUUUUUUAAAAAGAUGGCAGAGAGAAGAGUUCCUGAGAAGACCAGAUAGGACAUUUGCAUCUCAAAGAUGGGGAAACAAGUUUGAAGCAGGGUGUCCUGACUACAAAUGCAGUGUUGUUUCCAAGAUGCCGCAAUGGUGGCUGCCUCUUGGCUCAGCGCCAGCUCACUCCGGGAGUGAAGAUGAGUUCCUGGGCUCCACGUCACCCAACACGAUGCCACACAUCAUGCAUGCUCUGUGAAUAGCUCUUGGUGAAAAUGGAAAUUAAACCAGAAUGUGAACAUGCUGAAUGAAUCGGACUCCCCAGAGAUUUGGAGGAGAAGAAAACCUCCCACUCGCCUUUGACUUUUGGAUUUCUUGUUUCCCUCAUGUUUGGAUUGCACUUUAAGAAGUCCAUCUGGAAGUUCACUUUUUAUAUUUUGCAAAUGCAAGUAGAGCUUAUUAUCAAAAGACAAACCCCUAAAGGAAGAAAAACAGUGGGCAGGGAUUGGGGGGGCCAGAGAAUCACCUAAAAAAUCCAGUGACGGUAUUUCAAGUUAAAUU